GCCCUUCCAAAUUACCCUGGGGAUUGUACACACCCGAGUUGGCAAUUAUCGGAGCUGGAUUUCUACGAAUACGGCAGAUUCUGUAUACUGCCCCAGCCCAUGAAGAGUAUCGACUCAUCAAGUGGAGCAAAGCUGACCUCAUUGGAAUUUCUCUUUUAAUUGGAUAUUUACAAUUUAUUGAUCAGAAAUGACUUAUUUGCAUCUAGAAUUUGAUCUGAAGUAGAUGAUUGAAAUAAAAUAUAUUAAAUAGCUGCUGGUCUUUCGACAUAGAAAUGAAGUAUAUUAAAUAUUUGGUCUUUC